AUCUAGCUGACGUGUUCCACAUAAGACAAAACGCGCGUCCUGGAU
rfam:Schistosoma mattheei strain Denwood, Zambia genome assembly, scaffold: SMTD_scaffold0006817